GAUGAAGAACGCAGCGAAAUGCGAUAAGUAGUGUGAAAUGCAGAAUUCAGUGAAUCAUCGAAUCUUUGAACGCACAUUGCGCCCCUUGGUAUUCCAUGGGGCAUGCCUGUUCGAGCGUCAUUUGUACCUUCAAGCUUUGCUUGGUGUUGGGUGUUUGUCUCGCCUUUGCGUGUAGACUCGCCUUAAAAUAAUUGGCAGCCGGCGUAUUGAUUUCGGAGCGCAGUACAUCUCGCGCUUUGCACUCAUAACGACAGCGUCCAAAAGUACAUUUUACACUCUUGACCUCGGAUCAGGUAGGGAUACCCGCUGAACUUAAGCAUAUCAAUAAGCGGAGGA
rnacentral:misc_RNA from 1 species